UAAUACAGAGGUGGCAAGCGUUGUUCGGAAUUACUGGGCGUAAAGGGCGCGUAGGCGGCCUCGCAAGUCCCGUGUGAAAUCCCUCGGCUCAACUGAGGAAUGGCACGGGAAACUGCGGGGCUUGAGUUCGGGAGAGGGAAGCGGAAUUCCGGGUGUAGCGGUGAAAUGCGUAGAUAUCCGGAGGAACACCGGUGGCGAAGGCGGCUUCCUGGACCGAUACUGACGCUGAGGCGCGAAAGCUAGGGGAGCAAACGGGAUUAGAUACCCCGGUAGUCCUAGCUGUAAACGAUGAGCGCUGGGUGUAGGGGGUUUUAACCCCUCCUGUGCCGAAGCUAACGCAUUAAGCGCUCCGCCUGGGGAGUACGGUCGCAAGGCUG
rnacentral:rRNA from 1 species